AGCGUAGACGGCAAGGCAAGUCUGAAGUGAAAGCCCGGUGCUUAACGCCGGGACUGCUUUGGAAACUGUUUAGCUGGAGUGCCGGAGAGGUAAGCGGAAUUCCUAGUGUAGCGGUGAAAUGCGUAGAUAUUAGGAAGAACACCAGUGGCGAAGGCGGCUUACUGGACGGUAACUGACGUUGAGGCUCGAAAGCGUGGGGAGCAAACAA
rnacentral:rRNA from 1 species